rnacentral:rRNA from 1 species
UGAGGAAUAUUGGUCAAUGGGCGAGAGCCUGAACCAUCCAAGUAGCGUGCAGGAUGACGGCCCUAUGGGUUGUAAACUGCUUUUAUGUGGGGAUAAAGUGCGUGACGUGUCAUGCAUUGCAGGUACCACAUGAAUAAGGACCGGCUAAUUCCGUGCCAGCAGCCGCGGUAAUACGGAAGGUGCGGGCGUUAUCCGGAUUUAUUGGGUUUAAAGGGAGCGUAGGCUGUCUAUUAAGCGUGUUGUGAAAUAUACCGGCGCAACCGGUGGCUUGCAGCGAGAACUGAUCGACUUGAGUAUGCAGGAAGUAGGCAGAAUUCAUGGUGUAGCGGUGAAAUGCUUAGAUAUCAUGACGAACUCCGAUUGCGCAGGCAGCUUACUGUAGCAUAACUGACGCUGAUGCUCGAAAGUGCGGGUAGCGAACAGG